rnacentral:hammerhead_ribozyme from 17 species
CGAGCGUCUGGGGUAAGGAGUCGCUGCCGUCAGCUCCCACUGAUGAGUCUAGGCAGUGACUCCGAGACGAAACGCAUC